UAGGGAAUCUUCGGCAAUGGGGGCAACCCUGACCGAGCAACGCCGCGUGAGUGAAGAAGGUUUUCGGAUCGUAAAGCUCUGUUGUAAGUCAAGAACGGGUGUGAGAGUGGAAAGUUCACACUGUGACGGUAGCUUACCAGAAAGGGACGGCUAACUACGUGCCAGCAGCCGCGGUAAUACGUAGGUCCCGAGCGUUGUCCGGAUUUAUUGGGCGUAAAGCGAGCGCAGGCGGUUUUGAUAAGUCU
rnacentral:rRNA from 1 species